AGGAAAGAUGUUCAAACAAUGGCGUCAAAACUUGGCAUAUCUCUGCGUGAAUACUCCUGUAUCCUUGCGCGGCAAGCAGGGUAACAGGUUUACCGUAUGAAGUUCUAUCAUACGUUUUAAGAACAUGUUUGUUUGUUCUUGCAAUAUCUUCUUUGGCAAGAGCUUCGCAAAUCCUCAAGGCAGAAGCAAAAGAAACCAAAUUCUAUUUUCCUGUGGUUGGUUGUGAUUUUAGAUUCUGCUAUUGUUAUCAACAUUUAUAGAAGGUUUCACUGAUUGCUCAACCUGUGUUUAUCUAUACCUGGGAGGAAUUUGGUCCGUGGGUUUUGAGAGAUACCUGUACUGUGAAGUAUUUGCUGCGGGAGACCUGUGGGAUUUUGUAGAGGCUUUUGACGUGUUGCAAUUGCAACACAAGGUAGAGUACACAUUCUAUCAGAACACUUGCGGCGCGUUCUGAGCCUAGCAUGUGGGAUGAAGGGGGAACUACGGGUAAUUUGGCCACCCUUAGUGGCUAAGAUCGCUUGCAUGCCCUCCACAAGGAAAUCCUUUUAACAAUUGACCAACUCUUUUUUAUUUUUCCCCCUUUUUGACAAAAGUUAGGAGCAUAAAUAUUAUUCCACUUCUAUUGUACAUUGAUCUCUAUUAGUAUACUAUAUUUUCAUCUUGGCUGGUUUUUAUAA